rnacentral:rRNA from 1 species
AUUGAACGCUGGCGGCAGGCCUAACACAUGCAAGUCGAGCGGAUGAGGGAAGCUUGCUUCCCGAUUUAGCGGCGGACGGGUGAGUAAUGCCUAGGAAUCUGCCUAUUAGUGGGGGAUAACGUUCCGAAAGGAACGCUAAUACCGCAUACGUCCUACGGGAGAAAGUGGGGGAUCUUCGGACCUCACGCUAAUAGAUGAGCCUAGGUCGGAUUAGCUAGUUGGUGGGGUAACGGCUCACCAAGGCGACGAUCCGUAGCUGGUCUGAGAGGAUGAUCAGCCACACUGGAACUGAGACACGGUCCAGACUCCUACGGGAGGCAGCAGUGGGGAAUAUUGGACAAUGGGCGAAAGCCUGAUCCAGCCAUGCCGCGUGUGUGAAGAAGGUCUUCGGAUUGUAAAGCACUUUAAGUUGGGAGGAAGAGUUGUAAGCUAAUAUCUUGCAGCUUUGACGUUACCAACAGAAUAAGCACCGGCUAACUCUGUGCCAGCCGCCGCAGUAAUAC